UACGUAGGCAGCAAGCGUUGUUCGGAGUUACUGGGCGUAAAGGGUGUGUAGGCGGCCUGUUAAGUUCCGUGUGAAAUCUCCCGGCUCAACCGGGAGGGUGCGCGGAAAACUGGCGGGCUAGAGUACGGGAUGGGAGAGUAGAAUUCCUGGUGUAGCGGUGAAAUGCGUAGAUAUCAGGAGGAAUACCGGUGGUGUAGACGGCUCUCUGGACCGUAACUGACGCUGAAGACACGAAAAGCCGUGGGUAGCAAACAGG
rnacentral:rRNA from 1 species